rnacentral:sRNA from 1 species
UGACCACCUGAAUAAGGUUAAGGCCAUACGGACAGCCGGGUCAAAUGCCGA